AGGCAGCUCUGCGCGGCCAUCCGGAGCGGGGUGGGACUUCGCGCCCCGCUCCGGAUGGCCGCGCAGAGCUGCGCU